UACGGAGGGUGCAAGCGUUAAUCGGAAUUACUGGGCGUAAAGGGUGCGUAGGUGGUUUAAUAAGUUAUCUGUGAAAUUCCUGGGCUCAACCUGGGGCGGUCAGAUAAGACUGUUAGACUCGAGUAUAGGAGAGGGUAGUGGAAUUUCCGGUGUAGCGGUGAAAUGCGUAGAGAUCGGAAGGAACACCAGUGGCGAAGGCGGCUACCUGGCCUAAUACUGACACUGAGGCACGAAAGCGUGGGGAGCAAACAGG
rnacentral:rRNA from 1 species